GUCGGAGCCCUAGACUUAAGGGUCCUGCAAUUUAGGGGUUCUUUGUGAUGCCUUAAGGCAUCACUAAAGAUAUUCCAAAGUAAAUAGAAUCGAUAUAUCUGAUAAGGAAAAUAAAAGAAGUGAGGAAUGCCUUAAGGCAUCACUAAAGAUAUUCCAAAGUAAAUAGAAUCGAUAUAUCUGAUAAGGAAAAUAAAAGAAGUGAGGAAUGCCUUAAGGCAUCACUAAAGAUAUUCCAAAGUAAAUAGAAUCGAUAUAUCUGAUAAGGAAAAUAAAAGAAGUGAGGAAUGCCUUAAGGCAUCACUAAAGAUAUUCCAAAAGAAAUAGAAAGCGAUGUAAUUUACAAAUUUAGUAGGGUCUUUAAGUCUAGGGUGACGGCG
rnacentral:rRNA from 1 species